AAUGAACCGACUUUUUGACCUGAGGCAGUUUAGGACAAUAAGCAGACGUGAAGAGCACCGGAUGGAAGAGCAGGGGAAGAUCGAGAAGGAUUAAGAAAAGCGGAGCAGAAAAGGACACACCAUUAGGCAGAGCUACGUGCGUGUACGACAAGUUAUUCUUCCCCAAAUCACACAGCACUCCCCAGUUGAAGAGGCUCUUUCUCUCGAUUCCUCCAUUUCAAUCCGAGACCCCCACUCACCAUCUCCUCGCCUCGGAUCGGAUCAGAGCACCACCGGAAAAUUCCAGAAUAAACACACGAAAACUCGGAAGCAGCAAGAGUUAGCGCGAAAACCCUAGCCCUCGACAACACCAUGGCGGCUAACUCCUCCUCCCCGUCGGCCGGCGGCGGCGACGUGGCCUCCCCUUCGCUGCCGCCGGUGCGUCUCUCGGCGGCGCAGGCGGCGACGAUCCAGCCCUCCUCCCCGCGCUACUUCUUCUCCUCGCUGGCCGGCGGCAACGCCUCCUCCCACCGGCGCAUCGCCAUCGCCGUCGACCUCUCCGACGAGUCCGCCUUCGCAGUUCGCUGGGCCGUGCAGAACUACCUCCGUCCCGGUGACGCCGUUGUUCUCCUGCACGUGCGACCCACCUCCGUCCUCUACGGGGCCGACUGGGGCUCCAUCCCCGUCUCCGUCUCCGACGACGACGGCAGCGCCGACGGCGAGGACGCCCCCGCGGCCACCGCUGAGGGCGCCGAGGCGGCCUCCGCGGAGGAGCUGCAGAAGAAGCGAGAGGAGGACUUUGACACCUUCACAUCGACCAAGUCUCAGGACCUGGCGCAGCCGCUGGUCGCUGCACAGAUCCCCUUUAAGAUCCACGUCGUCAAGGAUCAUGACAUGAAGGAGCGGUUAUGCCUCGAGGCCGAGCGCCUUGGCUUGUCCGCUAUGAUCAUGGGAAGCCGUGGCUUCGGUGCCUCGCGGAAGGGUGGGAAGGGGAGACUCGGGAGUGUUAGUGAUUAUUGUGUGCAUCACUGUGUCUGCCCGGUUGUGGUUGUUCGCUACCCGGAUGAUGCUGCAGGUAUCGCUGGGGAGGCAGCAGGAGCAACAGAUGAGCUGCACACUGUGCCUGAGGAUGAGCCAGUGUAUCAUGAUGCACCUGACGCUCACAAAGCGAUUUACAAUGGUGCCUUUUGAAGGUCCUUUGAAGUACGAGUGUCAAACAGAAGAAACACCAAGAUAAUGUUCCUCUUUUCGUGUUUCUUCUGUUUGCCACUCAUUUUUUUUAAAAAAACUGAGGCAAUGGCAUGCAACUGCAGCGCAAGGAGAACAUGAGGCUUGUACCAAGGCGAUCCCUGUGUACCUGAGCGGCAUGACUGGAUGCUUAUCUUUGGCUUCUGUAUCCACUGCAUAAGUGAAUAUCACAAACUGGGUUGGUCAGCAGGCUACUUUUGCAUUUUGAGUUAGUACCAGGCUCUCGGAUCACCGGAGUCUUUGUGUUGAUUUGCGAUGCCAGACGUUUAUGCUUGGACAGCAGGUAGACUGAACUAUUCCUGUGUGCGCAUGCUGUCUGUUUAUGUUGGAUCCUGGACCUGUAAGCCCCGUGUUGUAUUAUCCCUAGUUUUCGGCAUUUGGACGCUUGGGUAAUGGACACUGCUUGUUUCUCUGUACAUGUUUGUAAGACAGGUUUGUGCCAAAAUAAAUACCAUGUUGACAUCU